rnacentral:lncRNA from 1 species
GGCACCCCGGGCCGCCGGCGGCCAGAGGAGAGCUCACGUGCACUGUUCUCCGAAGAAAACGAGACCAUACAAUAAACGGCUCUUUUAUUUAUAAAAAAGCCCCGGGAGCAGUCUUCAGGGCUGCAGGAUCCAGUUCUCUCUGCGUCCCGCGGGGAAGUCGGCCUCACGCCCCCCUGCCUGGGCUGGGGCGCCCCUCGGGGCGCUCGAGCACCGCCGCCCGCGCAGCCUCUGCCCUUCCUCUGUGUCCCCGGCUGCCCGAGGUCGCCCGAGGUCGUCACCACGGAGAGCCGAGCACCAGCCCGCCCCCCGCCCGCCCCGGGAAAGUGUGUGGUCAGCUCGGAGAGGGAACUCAGCCUGCCACCUGUGCUGUCCCCUACCCUGCCCCGCGGCCACCUCCUCUGGGAGGAAGGCUCCCGAAGGCCGCUGGGUCGGAGGACGGUACCGGCCCUUUGCUGGGGGCUAGCAGCCCGCGGGGGGCCGAGAAGGGGUCUCAGAUGUGGCGGGGAGGGGCCAGCCUGCGGGAGGGUCGGGGAGGCUGGAGGGAACUGUUGAUAAAUCUUGGCUCUUCCUGCUUCUCCCCUUUUUGCCAAACACCUUUUGGGCCCCCGAAGGCUGCCGAGGGGGCUCAUCUGUGGGGCCCACCUGCUCCUUGGUGCAAGUUCCCUGCCUUGCCUUCCCCCUGCCCUUGGCAGCUGCCCCCUCACCCCAUCCCACCUGGUCUAGCGCAGAUAUCCACAGCUCAGCCCCCAGUCCUGCAUGCUGGAGAUUUCUGGAUCCUUCCCUGGGAGGGGGAGGUCUCCUAACCAGAUUGGACAGGAGCCUUCAUUCCUUGACUUGUGUCAUUUGGGAGCUAUUUAUUUAUUCUUAAUAUUUAAUUUUUAACAUCCUCUCAGGGACCAGGGGCCUCCUGCUUUCCAGAGGCCCAAGUGCAUUUAUCCCAAAACAAGGCAUCUUCUUGGCAUCCACCCCACCCCCCCAUUCCUAACACCCUAAGGUCCCUCACCUUGUUGCUCUGGAAGCUCUUGCCAAUACGAGUGUUAGUAGCCCUGAAAGAGGGUGGAAAGGUGUAAGGUGUCACCAAAGCCACACAAAGACUAGCAGAAGCAAGGAAGGUCAAAGGCAGUUCUCAUUGCUACCUCUUCUCUGGCUGUAUUUUCAAAUUGCUCGAGGGGAUUGGCUGGAAGCCAGAAUUCUAGUUUUCUUUCUGGCUGGAGGAGGCCAUAUUUGGCAUGGAGUCACUGAAGUGAAGGGCUGGAAGGUUCUAGAGGCCCCAUCACUUCCCAUAGGAGGGCCGCGUUAUUUUUCUGAUCUUGUUCUUCAGCGUUAGUUCUGUGAAACGUUCCAAGUGAACGUGAGCAUAGGACAGGUCGGCAGGUUAGGAAGGAGCCAAAAAUCCUGCUAUUCUCCUUACUACCCAAUAGCCUAAAGACAUCCAUGUUCCUAUUUGGGAGCUUGGAGUGGGGAGGGAGUUUUGUUUCUAAACUAUGCACUAACAGGUGUUUUUCAGCAUUCAGUUAUGCAUGAAUACAGUUCUUCAGGACCCCAGCGAUAGGAGUAACAAAAUUCUCCCCGCCAGACUCCAGGACGGCUACCUAGAUCGUCAACUUCCCCAGUUAGUUUCCUCCAAAGGCUUCUUCCAGGACCCAAGUUUGCAAAAAUCUGGUAUGCCCUCCAGAAACAGGAGGGUGGCAAAUUUAAGCUGUCUUCUAAAUCACUUGUGUAAUAAGAGUGCCUUCGCAGCUUCGCCCCAAAGUGCUACUUAUGUUUCCUGAGGUUUUUUCUAUUUAAACAGUAUUUUGUUUCAGGCCCCCCUGUGGACAUGUGGUAAGAGGAACCUCCUUGUUUAGAGAGAUUCUCCUCCUCUACGCUCACAGGAAUCAGACUAGGCAAAUAUUGGUGGAAAAAAUCAAGGUGGUACCUCUGUAUUAAUUCCACCAGACACUGUAUUUUCGAAGGGCUCGUGCUCCAGGAUGGAUUUAGAUCUAGAAUACACGGUGAAAGUUAAAAUGUGUAGAGGGCAAUGCCAUUGUUCCAAGUGACCUGCCAAUAAAGUAGGUGCAGCCAUAGGAGCUGGGAUGGGUAUAUCCUUUAAUGGUGCUUUCUCUCUGUGAACACAGUAGGCUUAUCUUUUUUUUUUUUCCCUUGUUCUCUUCUAUUCAGAGCUGUUUGCUUUAAGAAGUUAAAUGACAAACACCUCCAGCUUUAUAAUGUCCUCCCCACACCAUCUCACAUAGCCAUCUUCCAGUCUCCAUCUACACUUAGCUAAGGGCAUGAAACUAACCUAGUGCCUGUGUCCCAGACCAUUUCUGAGGUGUCUUACCCACCCAAGGAGACUGUGCUUCAGCGCACUGUCCUCCAUGCCUUCAGCAGCCCCCCUCACAGCUAAGGUACACCCUCAUCCCUUCUGACCCCACCACCACCCCUGGCACAGAGGUCAUGUGCUGCUUAUGUCUAGAGAAUCCCCUAUAUUUAACUGCCUCAGUGACCUAACCUCUUUCUUCUCAUGUGCCAGAUGUUAAGAUGAAGGAGGAAUACAACACAUACUCAAGCCUCAGCUGUUUAAAUAUAUUUUCACUGGGGCUCUCUUUUUUUUCGAACGGUAUUUAUUACCAGACUGGCAAGCCUAACUCCUUAGGUUUACAGGAAGUAUGCACAUUUUUAUAAAACAAUUGUAUGUCCUCCCCAUAUUUCGCUGUGUUAAUGUUUGCCUCUAACAAUUUGCAGCUGUUUCACCUUUUCCUCAUUUGUCUUUAAGUUGAAGGUCUUGUGUGGAGGGGACAGCACAGGAACAGCCUUGACAGUCUGUAAUUAUUGUACAAAUAUUUUAAUAGCAUAUAAAUAAGUAUAUUCCUUUUAUUUUGGAAAAAAAAAACAUGAUCAGACACUGCCUUUUGUGUGUUUGCUGCCUGUGGCACCCUUUUUUAAAAAGACUGUUACAUAUUAAAAUAGUGUAUAUAUAUAUAUAUAUAUAUAAAUAUUACCUCUUUUGCUGUACAGUUGUGAUAGACCAGACUGAAGAUUUUAUUUUUUGUGUGCUUUUUAUAAAAAAGAAAAAAUAACACACUAAAGUAAAUCUUGCGGAUGUGAUUGUAAUGUACCUAUGUAACUUAUUUACUUUUGAAUGUUCUUCUGUAUCUUUAAACCUUUUAUUAAAUAAGGUUUUAAAAAUU